rnacentral:rRNA from 1 species
GAUGAACGCUGGCGGCGUGCCUAAUACAUGCAAGUCGAGCGAACAGACGAGGAGCUUGCUCCUCUGACGUUAGCGGCGGACGGGUGAGUAACACGUGGAUAACCUACCUAUAAGACUGGGAUAACUUCGGGGAACCGGAGCUAAUACCGGAUAAUAUAUUGAACCGCAUGGUUCAAUAGUGAAGGACGGUUUUGCUGUCACUUAUAGAUGGAUCCGCGCCGCAUUAGCUAGUUGGUAAGGUAACGGCUUACCAAGGCAACGAUGCGUAGCCGACCUGAGAGGGUGAUCGGCCACACUGGAACUGAGACACGGUCCAGACUCCUACGGGAGGCAGCAGUAGGGAAUCUUCCGCAAUGGGCGAAAGCCUGACGGAGCAACGCCGCGUGAGUGAUGAAGGUCUUCGGAUCGUAAAACUCUGUUAUUAGGGAAGAACAAAUGUGUAAGUAACUAUGCACGUCUUGACGGUACCUAAUCAGAAAGCCACGGCUAACUACGUG